CAGCAGCCGCGGUAAUACGAAGGGUGCAAGCGUUAAUCGGAAUUACUGGGCGUAAAGCGUGCGUAGGCGGUGAGUUAAGUCUGCUGUGAAAUCCCGGGGCUCAACCUGGGAAUGGCAGUGGAUACUGGCUCGCUAGAGUGUGUCAGAGGAUGGUGGAAUUCCCGGUGUAGCGGUGAAAUGCGUAGAGAUCGGGAAGAACACCAGUGGCGAAGGCGGCUUACUGGCUCAUUCUAGACGCUGAGGUGCGAAAGCGUGGGGAGCAAACAGGAUUAGAUACCCCUGUAGUCCCUGUCUCUUAUAC
rnacentral:rRNA from 1 species